rnacentral:tRNA from 1 species
GCCACCUUAGCUCAGCUGGCAGAGCGAGCGCUUCGUAAGCGUUAGGUCCCCGGUUCGAUCCCGGGAGGUGGCUCCA